rnacentral:rRNA from 1 species
UGGGGAAUAUUGCACAAUGGGGGGAACCCUGAUGCAGCGACGCCGCGUGAGCGAAGAAGGUAUUCGUAUCGUAAAGCUCUGUCCUAUGGGAAGAUAAUGACGGUACCAUAGGAGGAAGCUCCGGCUAACUACGUGCCAGCAGCCGCGGUAAUACGUAGGGAGCAAGCGUUGUCCGGAAUCACUGGGCGUAAAGGGUUCGCAGGCGGCAAUGCAAGUCUCGUGUGAAAGGCAAGGGCUCAACCCUUGUAAGCACAAGAAACUGCAUAGCUUGAGUAGUGGAGAGGCAAGUGGAAUUCCUAGUGUAGCGGUGAAAUGCGUAGAUAUUAGGAGGAAUACCGGUGGCGAAGGCGACUUGCUGGACACAAACUGACGCUGAGGAACGAAAGCGUGGGGAGCAAACAGG